AUAUCGCCAUCAAUAUAAUGUUCCUGCACCAAAUUGCCUCUGGCACAUAGAUGGCAAUCACAAAUUAAUCCGCUGGCGAUUUGUCAUCCACGGUGGGAUUGAUGGUUUCAGCCGCCUUGUGGUGUACCUGACGGCUGCCACCAACAACUGUGCAGCAACGGUAUACUUCAUACCUUCCUUGGUGCUGUCAGGCAGUAUGGUUUCCCAUCUCGUGUGAGAUCCGACGAGGGGAAAACAUUGAGGUGGCAAACUUAAUGGUGGAAACCCAGGGAGAAAACCGCAAUUCCCAUAUAACUGGGAGAAGUGUGCACAACCAAAGGAUUGAGUGUCUAUGGCGAGAUGUAUACACACAAGUCCUUGAUGUGUUCCACACCCUCUUCCAUGAAAUGGAAGCAACAAGUAUGUUGAUUCCAGACAUUG